ensembl:snoRNA
AUCCUUUUGUAGUUCAUAAGCAUGAUGAUUGGGUUUUCACGCUGCUGUGUGAGAUGUGCCUCUCUCAAGCCUUGUUACAAUGUCAGCACAUUACCUAUCUGAUG